rnacentral:rRNA from 1 species
AACGAACGCUGGCGGCGUGCCUAACACAUGCAAGUCGAGCGAGACCUUCGGGUCUAGUGGCGCACGGGUGCGUAACGCGUGGGAACCUGCCCUUAGGUUCGGAAUAACUCCCCGAAAGGGGUGCUAAUACCGGAUAAUGUCUUCGGACCAAAGAUUUAUCGCCUUUGGAUGGGCCCGCGUUGGAUUAGCUAGUUGGUAGGGUAAAAGCCUACCAAGGCGACGAUCCAUAGCUGGUCUGAGAGGAUGAUCAGCCACACUGGGACUGAGACACGGCCCAGACUCCUACGGGAGGCAGCAGUGGGGAAUAUUGGACAAUGGGCGAAAGCCUGAUCCAGCAAUGCCGCGUGAGUGAUGAAGGCCUUAGGGUUGUAAAGCUCUUUUACCCGGGAUGAUAAUGACAGUACCGGGAGAAUAAGCUCCGGCUAACUCCGUG